AACUAUCUACGGACAUGCAAAAACUACAGAAACAACAGGAUUGAAAUCUACAACAAAUACAUUGAUGCAGACAAGGAGGGCAAACAACAACGGAGCAUCGGCGGGCAUAACAAACGCAAUGCGAACAUUACGCUUUAUACCGGCCGGCUCUGUUGUCCCCCUGUGUGUUGUUUAUUGGCUGGCUGGAUUGAUGGUGUUGGCGUGCAUCUUGGGCAAAAGUUGGAGAUGGCGUGCGGCUCUAGUCCGGCCGCCCACGUUGCAUCUGUCUGUUUGUUUGGUGCAGCAGACCGAGUGGCACUGGUCCGGCCACCCGAAGAUGCAUUGUCCAGUGUGUUGGCAUUGACAUCGAAAUGCCAACGAAUCAUGUUAUUGGCCGCAUCCGAGUGGCUGCUGGUCCGGCCACCAGGAUGCGUUGUCGAUUUUAAUUGUUGGCCGCAUCCGAGUGGCUGCUGGUCCGGCCACCAGGAUGCGUUGUCAGUUGGAUUGGCCUGGCCUCGUUGGCCACGUUCGUCAUCAAUUUGUAAUGGCGUUUUGAAUGGCUGCUGGUACUUUCGGCGUUUGGAUGUUGUUGCUGGCGACCCUUGUCUGGUUUGUGAUGGCGUAAAACAGCAGGUGAGUAUUUUGUGUUUUUAUUGGCAGCCUUUUUUUCCCUGAUUCUCCUUCUUCUUUUGCAGGAUUUGCUGGCGUCCGGCGGCUCAACACCGGGCCAUCCCGCCCUCACAUAAUUGGCAUGAGAGACGGGU
rnacentral:sRNA from 1 species